UCCCUCCUUCCUCCCCCUCCUUCUCCCCACGGAUCAUCAUCAUCUUCACCUUUAGGGGCAGUCGAAUGAAAACAGUGCCUUAUUGAGGUGGUGUUGGCAGUUCUGGUGGUGCUGGCAGGCUGGGAGAGUAUGCUGCAGUCAGACUAGAGAGAGGAUCUGCAGUGGUUGAUCAUAAAAAGGGGGGAAGGAUUCCAGAGACUCAUCCGCCUCCGACGCAAGCCAAUCAGCUUUGA